rnacentral:RNase_P_RNA from 1 species
UCAGACGGCUGGAUGGCUGCACUCGGGCGGGCGACCGCACGGGUGAGGAAAGUCCGGGCUCCACGGAGACACGGUGCCGGAUAACGUCCGGCGGGGGCGACCCCAGGGAAAGUGCCACAGAAAGCAAACCGCCCCGCCUUUCGAUCGGCCGUUCGCGGGCCGAUGGAAUGGCGGGGCAAGGGUGAAAGGGUGGGGUAAGAGCCCACCGCGCGACUGGCAACAGGAGCGGCACGGUAAACCCCAUCGGGAGCAAAACCGAAUAGGGAUGACGCGGAGGGCAACCUCCAGGCUGUUUCCGGCCCAGUCAUCCGGGUGGGUUGC